UGUAGCUGGCCCUGUCCUGGGUUCUAGGAUUGCAACAGUUAACAAGACAGACACCAUCCUUUUCUCAUUAAAUUUACAGUCUAGCAGGGAAGACAGACAUCAAACAUCAAACAAAACAUCAAAGGAUUUAAUUGACAGACGCUACUGAAGACAAAUUGCAGAACACUACCCGUGUAUUCAAGGAGACCUAGGUCCGUCUGGGGAAAAGGAGUUCCCUUAGGAAGCAGCUUUUAGCCAAAGGGUGGGAGUGAGCAAUGCAAAAGGUGAGUGGGUGGCAGAGGAAAUAGCAUGUAUCAAGGCCCUGAGGCUUAAGGAAUCAGUGUUUCAGAGCAAAGGCAAAUGUGGCUGGAGCACCUAGAAAACCCUAUGUCCUCUUUGAAUCCCUUAUGAAUCAUCAUAUUGGGCAAAGGACCCUAAAGAAACUGACAGGACUAUUUAAUUUCAUUUGAAAAUUCAAAAUUCAAUACACUAUCACAGGAUAUUGAAUAUAAUUUCCCGUGCUAUGCAGUAGACCCUGUUGUUUAUCCAUUCUAUAAAUAAUAGUUUGCAUCUGCUAAUUCCAAACUCUCCAUCCAUCCCCCCUCUAUCCCCCUUCCCCACGGCAACACAUCUGUUCUCUAUGAGUCUGUUUCUGUAAAACUCAACACGCUAUUAAUUUAUUCCUUGAAUGACUUAUUGAUUCUACUUAUUUGGUCCAGUACUCCAAAAUUUGGUUACUUUUAGCCUCCAUUUAAAAACAUGAAGUCUGGAAGUUGUUCAGAAGUAAAGUCAGUGGGCUGCCUGGAAAGUGUAAGCUUAGUGGAGGCACACCUGUUCAGACUGGUUGGACUUCCAGUCCUUUCCUAGUAAAAGGGUGUUUGAGAAUGAGUGUUUGAGAAUUACUUUCAAAUCUUUGACCUGGUGGUAGGAGAGGGUGGUUUAGAGAAAUAAUGAUUGCUCCACUCCCUACUGCUUUGUGGAGCCCAAGGAUCACCACCACAUUUGAAGAUUCACUAGGAUUCACAGAACUCAGCAUGGAGUCCUACUCUUGGCUAGGAUUCAUACGCAGCCAGACCGUAACAGAAGAAGACAGGUAGAGAAAUCAAGGCCAGUCUUUCUUCUGCCUUCUCCCUCCCAUGAAGAGGUACGCUUGAAUGUGCUCCUUUCUCUAGCAACUAAAACACGCAAUAAUGUAUAAUGUUUCUGCCCAGGGAUCCCACUAGUGAUUCAGCAUACAAGGCUUUUCCUGGGAUAUGGUCACACAGGCACCCUCUGUCUAGCACGUACCACUCUUCUAGAUUCCCAAAAGCAAGCAGGUGUUUGGCAUAAUCACAUUGUGCAAAGGCAGUGGACCACUCUUAUCUCUUGAGGGAAUGAGUCAAGUGCCAAAUUCCCAAAUAUCAGUGAAAGGCCAGCCUUGAAAGCAGGUCCUUCCAAAGAAGGCCUCAGGGCUGCUAUGGUAACUUUUUCUGCACAUCUACCACGCCUGUAAAUAAGAAAUGUGGGAAGCAAAUAUAACACGCUUUCUAUUUUCAACAUCAUACAAUCAACAAAGAAUGAUAUGCAGCUUAGUAAGAAGUUUUACAGGAAUUCCCUUCUGUAGCAGCUGGAUCCUGAGUGGUUUGGAAAUGUCAGUAUUAAGUAGCUCAGGUGUAGUGUAGGUGCCUCCAGGUAUACAGGUAUUGAAGCCAGUCUUGAUCUAGCCAAAAGAACAGACCAAAAAAAAACAAAAACAAAAACAAAAACAAAAACAAAACAAAACAAAAACUUGUUUUGUAGGUCCCCAAUAGACAAUACAAAUGGGCUAUACUUAAUGAUAGCUUUCAUUUGGGAAGCACAUUAAAAACUAAAACUAUCUCUUCUCUUAUCUCCCCAACAGCAAGACACAGCCUGGAAUAAAAGUACAGAUUUCCAGCAAUGAGGCCAACCCUCCAGUGACAUAAAAUUCAUUUACGACACACGUAAACCAUGCCUUCAGCAAUAAUUUACAUAUCUGAGAUGAAAGAAAUGGGAAACCAAUCAGCAUAACCUAAAUAAAUGGUUCUCUUCAUUGUAACUCUUUUAUAGCCAAAGUGACCUUUCUUAGUACAAAGGCAGCAUAUUUAUAGGAUGCUAUUUUCUCAUGUAAUUCACUGUCACAUUACAUUGUCAUAAAUAUUCUUGAAAAGUAAAACAGCUGCAUAUAAUAAAAACCAUAAAUACUAAACUGUAUCCUUGAAAAAGCAAUAUAUAAAUAUUAAAUUUUGCCAAGAGAGAAUCAUUCACAAUUUCACACAAUAUCUAUAAUAUCAGCAUUUAACCUUGUAGUCUUUGUCUACAUGCUUAUAUAUUUCAUGAAGUUAUGAUCAUAUUGUACUUCUACUUGCACAAAUUGUUCAAUAUGCUAAUAUUUUCCAAGUUUCUCUAUAAAUGUCUUAAGAUAUUAUUCGCUCCAUUAUUUGCUAUAGAUUUAAUAUGUCUUUUGUUAAAAAUUCUCAUUUAAUCAGUGUAAUCUCCACACAUUGUUUAAAAUCAAAUGGUCAAUAAAUGAGUUAUUAAAAAAAGUCACAAUCCACUGUCUUAUACCACAUCCCAACUGCUGUCAUUUCCCAGUAGUAACUUAUUUUUUAGUUAUUUCCCCAAUACAACUUUUUGUGACCCAGUUACACAUACAUGUACACAUUCUUUUUUCUCACAUUAUCAUGCUCCGUCAUAAGUAACUAGACAUAGGUCCCAGUGCUACACAGCAGGAUCUCAUUGCUAAUCCAUUCCAAAGGCAAUAGUUUGCAUCUAUUAACCCCAAGCUCCCAGUCCAUCCCACUCCCUCCCCCUCCCCCUUGGCAACCACAAGUCUAUUCUCCCAUUUUUAUUUAAAUGUUCCUGUUUAAGUUUUCUACUGGUUAUCUUUAUUUCACUAAAUGACAUACUUACUAUUUCUCAAAUUAUUGAUUUUAGAUAUUAUCUAUUAGCAUAUUACUUUCAGUUGCUUUAUUGGUUUUCUUUGUAUUUAGAUACUAUACUUAUCUCUUCAUUUCUUCUUCCAUCUACUAGAAGUAACAUUUUUCUUAAUUUCUCACUCUGAGGAUGAAGAGUUAGGAGUGCUCUUAUCCUCCCCUUCAUUUUUUUCCAUCAAGUUCCAAUUCUUAAAUUCUGACGCUUAUACUUACACUCUUAUAGUGUAAGGUUGAUAUUUUUUAAAUGCUGUUUUGUAGCCAUGACUAUCUUCCAUGCUUACCCUAUAGAUUAAUUUUUUUUUUUUUUUUUUUUUUUUUUUUUUUUUUUUUUUUGCUUUUUAGGGCUUCACCUAUAGCGUAUGGAAGUUCCCAGAAUUGAGUAUCCUAGCUCAUGACAAUUUUAUCAAUUUGGGUUGUGGUAAUGAUCAAUACUAAUACUGCACAUUCAUAUAAACAUUUUUCUCUGAGAGAAUGGGUUCUCUGACAUGUUAAAUGUUCCGUAUUGGGAAAUAAAUCAUAAUUAUGAUAAAAUAAGGGCAUCAAGGAAUGAAAGGCUAGUGAAUUGAGAACUUAGCAGUUCUUCUUCUUUUUUUGGCUCUGCCCCCGGCAAAAAACCCUGCCACCCAGGAUCCUUAGUCCACUGAGCCACCAGGGAACUGCAGCAGUUCUUAUGCUCCAUUCACAACUUCUAAAAAGAUACAAAGCAAAAAGGGGGUGGUGUUGAAGGAAAAGAAUUUCAGGCUCUAUGAGUAAAAUGAAAGAAAUGCUACCAACUUAAGAAAAAUUGACAGAGAAGGAAAAAAAUUGUAAAGAUUUCACGCUUUUAAAUUGAUAAAUCCAAAAAAAAACUGAAAAAGUAUUAUUUCUGUUUUACAAAGAUGGACACUUUCAAAGAAACAAAGGCAUUGGUAUCAGCAUAUAUCAUGAAAAUUCUUGAUAAUCAUUUCUGUCCCAAAUCAAUGAUAACAUAAAGGAUGAAUAUUUGACUUUGUCAUUCAGGUUUUAAAUUCACUCUGAAGUUCUGUUUUUGUUUUUCAGUGUAGGAAGAUAGGUAGGUACUUCUAAACUUCAGGUCUCCUCACUUUAUAUAUAACAGCAGUACUGGAGGGAGCUACAGAAAAAAAAAUGACUUGAAUCAUAUUGCUCAUCAUUCAGCUAAAAAUAGGGAAGCCACACUUAAGUAUCCUGGCAUUUACAGGGAUAAAAAAGAAAAUUUUUAUGGUCACUGUUGUUAGCAAAGAGAACAUAUUUCUUCAUCUAUGAGGAAACCAAAGACCAAAAAAAUUGCCAGAGUACAAAGGGGUAGCAAGCACCUGGCUCUAAUUCAAUUCUGCCAAGAGGCCCAGAAGGAAUCAAUAAACACUUAUUAACUAAUCACACAGCAUCUCGCUUCUGUGAGUGAAAUGGCAAGUUUGUACAAAUGAUGAAAUUAAACAACCCUUAAUAUAGAUGGAAAUGUAGGAGACUAAGGAAAAAGCUGAGCGACUAGUUUGACAUCAAAUUUCCUAGGAAGUGGUUUAUCUAUCUUUCUUCAUUCUAUACCUAGUGGGGUCCAUCUAAGAUGUGGAGGGGAAAACAUCAAGCCUACUGUAUUAACAGCCUUAUUUUCCUGUGCCUUCCACCAUUACCCUUUAGCUUUAUAUGCCUGUGAUAAGGCCUUGGAAAUCCUACACCACCCCCAAUCAACCUUUAGAAAAUCAUUAGUCAAAAUAACAAAUGCAAAGUACUCAAUUUGUGUCUAGGAAACUGAAUUACAAUCGGAAGAUCAAAGGCAUUAUCCAGGUAACUCACAUGAAACCCACCCGGCUGCCCUUGGCCUGCAUUAUUUAGUAAACUAAUUGCCCUUUCCUUCACUUUCCAUUUCAAAAUGCCUAGGGAGAGGCAGAUGAGCUAGAUUUCUGGGCUCUCAAGGUUUAAAAAAGAGCAUAAGCAGUCAGGCCAUCUCCCUUCAUUUAGGAUCCAAAACCUGUACCCCACUGUAUCAGGAUAGCAAGAUUCCCCAACAGAGCCUUGGAUCUAAGAUCUAGGAAACAGAACUUACCACCCAAUAAAACAGGGACAGAGUGCACAGGGCAAAAGCUGCUUUGGUUUUUUGCCUCCAUGGUCCUACUAACUAGAGACCAACUGGACCCUUAUAGUUUGAAAGCUAAGACUUAGGUGCUGUGGAUUUCAUGAAAAAGCUGGAGGUAAUCCAUGUUAUUAGCAUGAAACCCAGAAGAAUUCAAUUCUUAGACGAUACCAACAAGGACCACCAAUCCUCUUAGUCAAAGAAUACUAAUGGCCCAACAGAGGCACCCCAAAUGGGACAUGUCUAAAAAUUGCAUUCAUUUAAAAAAAAAACGCUUUUCCCCGUGUUCCCUCUCCAGUGACAGCAACACUGGAUAGCCAGUUGCUACAACAACAGAAACCUUACAGUUAUGCUCUCUGCUCCUCAUAUGUAUUCCCUAAAGCCCUGACAUGCUCAUCUUUCACUUUUCCAUCACAUUUGAUCUUGACUUCCUCUGCUGCAUCCCAUCACUACCCCCAACCCCAUCACUGCUCCUUGGGAUUCCUCCAGGAAUCUCCAUCAUUGCCUGGUCCCCUGCCUCCAUCAGGCACUCCCCAUCUCCUUCCCUACUGCUGUCCUAUCAGCUUUUCGAAAUGUGAUCACAUCACUUCCUUAUUUAAAAUCUCUCAGGGUUCCAAGUGGUUCCAGGUGUUAAAAAUUGCUCAUGUUUCACAGGUACUAUAUUUGAUACCCUGUAAUAAUAAUCCAUGGGUAUCUAUGUAUAACUGAAUCAUGGUGCCAUAUAACAGAAGUUAACACAACAUGGUAAAUCGACUAUAUAGUUCACUAAAAUAAAUUUAGAUUUAAAAAAGGAAAAAGCAACUGCUCAUGUUUUAACCAAGAAUUUUCUUUUUAGUCAGGCUGAUACAAGUUUAAAUGUAUAAAAAUUACCAAAGGAUAAACACUGAAACAUCAACUUUUUCACUUAUCCUAGACCCUGAGAGCUCCUACUACUUUUUUUCUUCUUUGGCUGCACCCAUAGCAUUUGGAAGUUGCUGGGCCAGGGAUCAAUUCCGAGCCCCAGCUGCAACCUAUGCAACAGCUGCAACAAUGCCAGAUCCUUAACCGACUGCACCAGUACUGGGAUUGAACCCAUGCCUCAAUAGUGACCCGGGCUGCUGCAGAGACAAUGCUAGAUCCUUCCUCUGAGAGCUCCUGCUAUUAAUAGUUUCUCAGGUACCACAAAUUUCUUUCUGUGAUAAACACACAUAUACUUGCAAUUUUACAUUAUUUUUUACCCACUUUAUGUUGCAGAUUCAUAUGAACACUUACAGCCAUACUUUACGCAUUUGAACAGUGUCCAACUCCAAGUAUAAACAGUAUAUAAUUUAUUUAAUUAGCACUUCUCUGUGGGGAUUUGUGUUGUUGGUUUUUUGUUUGUUUUUACUCCUUUACUCUCUCUUUGCAGAAACAAAAAUGCAAUGAAUGCAGAGUCAAGUUGAAAUUCUUCAGCAGACAAGUUCUUCAGGAUUUGGCUACUGCCCAUACUCUGCUUCCUCUCCUCCACUUCCUCAUACACCAGACUCCUUGUGGCCACACCAAGCUACCUGCAGUCCCUCCAGACACGGUGCGGCCAGGUUACCUCUGCCUGUGAUGUCCUCUCUGCCCUUUUUUUUUUUGUCUUUUUACUAUUUCUUUGGGCCGCUCCCGUGGCAUAUGGAGG
ensembl:lncRNA